rnacentral:rRNA from 1 species
AUUGAACGCUGGCGGCAGGCCUAACACAUGCAAGUCGAGCGGAUGAAGGGAGCUUGCUUCUGGAUUUAGCGGCGGACGGGGGAGUAAUGCCCAGGAAUCUGCUUGGUAGGGGGGGAUAAUGUCCUGAAACGGGCGCUAAUACCGCAUACGAGCAGAGGGUGAAAGUGGGGGAUCUUCGGACCCCACGCGUUUGGCUGAGCCUAGUUCGGAUUAGCUAGUUGGUGGGGUUAAGGGCGACCGAGUCGUCGAUCGGUAACUGGCCUGAGUGGAUGAUCAGUCACACUGGAAGUGGGACACGCUCCAUACUCCUGCGGGAGGCAGCAGUAGGAUAUAUUGGACAGUGGGCGGAAGCCUGAACCAGCCAUGCCACGUGUGUGAAGAAGGUCUUCGGAUUGUAAGGCACUUUAACUUGGGAAGAACGGCAGUAAGUUAAUACCUUGCUUUUUUGACGUUACCAGCUGAAGAAGCACCGGCUAACUUCGUG